GAUGAACGCUGGCGGCGUGCCUAAUACAUGCAAGUCGAGCGAACGGACGAGAAGCUUGCUUCUCUGAUGUUAGCGGCGGACGGGUGAGUAACACGUGGAUAACCUACCUAUAAGACUGGGAUAACUUCGGGAAACCGUAGCUAAUACCGGAUAAUAUUUUGAACCGCAUGGUUCAAAAGUGAAAGACGGUCUUGCUGUCACUUAUAGAUGGAUCCGCGCUGCAUUAGCUAGUUGGUAAGGUAACGGCUUACCAAGGCAACGAUGCAUAGCCGACCUGAGAGGGUGAUCGGCCACACUGGAACUGAGCCACGGUCCAGACUCCUACGGGAGGCAGCAGUAGGGAAUCUUCCGCAAUGGGCGAAAGCCUGACGGAGCAACGCCGCGUGAGUGAUGAAGGUCUUCGGAUCGUAAAACUCUGUUAUUGGGGAAGAACAUAUGUGUAAGUAACUGUGCACAUCUUGACGGUACCUAAUCAGAAAGCCACGGCUAACUACGUG
rnacentral:rRNA from 1 species